GUGAAUCAUCGAAUUUUUGAACGCAAAUUGCACUCUUCUCUGAGAGUAGGCCUGUUUGAGGUUCAGCCUAUAAAAAAUCUACAUCGUUUCUGUUUCGCGGUGAUGUUCGUCGGGAGUUGGGUCAUCUUCAAUCCUUUUAGUUUUAAGCGACUGAAAAUUUUCUUUUUGGUUCCAGUAACGCUUCUAAUAUGUACUUCUUUACACGUUUACGUGUAGCGAUUUUUAUUAGACUUGACCAUCAUUUCGGAUCGCGUCCUUAC
rnacentral:misc_RNA from 1 species